CAGCUACCCCAGAAUCCUGUGCGCCACAAGUGAGACGUUGAAGACCAAAAAUUGUCUAUUCAACAACCAAAGAGGUGAAGUUUCUAGCAGUUGCUUGUUAGAAAAGCGUUCCAAACCUAGUUAAUUGUCAUCUUAACACCAUCGUACCAAUAUUACAGACCACGAAAUCUCAAAAGUUGCAAAAUAUGAUAGAAUUACCUCUCCCUUAGAAGUCACAUCAG
rnacentral:misc_RNA from 1 species